rnacentral:lncRNA from 1 species
CUGGAUUCCACAGGGAGAGCCUGCAAAUCACUUCUAUUUUAGCAAGGAGAAAACAGAAUCUCCAUCCAGCAGGGUCCACCCCUCUCUUUCUCCCUCUCCUCUCUUUUUCUAUCUCUUUCCCUCCCCCCCUUCCUCUUUCCCUCUCUCUCCCCUUCCCCCCACCCUCUCCGGUGUAUCUGUCUACAGCAACCAGCGUCCUCAUCUACACGCACGGAAAGGAAAGAAACAUCUUUGGUUGAGAGAGGAGGAGGAAAAAAAGAGAGAGAGAAAAAAACUUGCCUGGUUGUGGAAAAUGACACUUCAAGUAGCCAAGCCGGCUUCGAGAGUCGUAUCUAUUGUUUCUUAAAUUGUCAUCAGGGUGGUUUUUUUCUUCCUGCUUCUUCAAGUGAAGGUACCGCUACAAAAGGAAACUCCAGCCCCUCCUGUUCUCCAACGGCCUGUGAUUCUCAAAAAGAAAAAAAAAGCAAAAAAAAAAAAAAAAAAGCAAAAAAAAAAAAAAAAGGAAAAAAAAAGCACCCAAACUCAAAACCAACCAACCAAACAACCCCCAACAGCCAAGCAUACAUCUCUGUUUUUUCUUAAUUUUGGUCUUUUCGUUGGAUUUUCCCUUUCUUUUUUUUCCCUCGCCCCCCCCUCCUUGUUAUCGCUCAGUUUUGAGCGAAGGUUUACAUUUUUAAAAAUUUUGCUUUUCAGCCCGCCUUGAUGUAGCGCGAGUUUCAUCGACUCAAAAAAAAAAAAUCUGU